rnacentral:rRNA from 1 species
AGAGUUUGAUCCUGGCUCAGGACGAACGCUGGCGGCGUGCCUAAUGCAUGCAAGUCGCACGCUGUUCCUUCGGGAAUAGAGUGGCGAACGGCUGGGGAACACGUGGGGACCUACCCUUCAGUGGGGGACAACACCGCGAAAGCGGUGCUAAUCCCGCAUACGCUCUGCGGAGGAAAGCGUGGCAACACGCGCUGAAGACUGGCCCUGCGGCCCAUCAGGUAGUUGGCGGGGUAACGGCCCACCAAGCCCGUGACGGGUCGCUGGUCUGUGAGGACGACCAGCCAGACUGGGACUGAGAUACGGCCCAGACUCCUACGGGAGGCAGCAGCAAGGAAUUUUCGGCAAUGGGCGCAAGCCUGACCGAGCAACGCCGCGUGCGGGAUGACGGCCUUCGGGUUGUAAACUCCUUUCAGUUGGGACGAAGGUUCUGCGGUGAAUAGCCGUUGGAACUGACGGUACCUUCACAAGAAGCCCCGGCUAACUACGUGCCAGCAGCCGCGGUAAUACGUAGGGGGCAAGCGUUGUCCGGAAUCAUUGGGCGUAAAGCGCGUGUAGGCGGGUCGGUCAGUCUGCUCUGAAAGUCCAAGGCUCAACCUUGGGAUGCGGGUGGAUACUGCCGGCCUAGAGUCCGGAAGAGGCGAGUGGAAUUCCUGGUGUAGCGGUGAAAUGCGCAGAUAUCAGGAGGAACACCAAUGGCGAAGGCAGCUCGCUGGGACGUGACUGACGCUGAGACGCGAAAGCGUGGGGAGCAAACAGGAUUAGAUACCCCCGUAGUCC